UAUCCGACAGAUGGCACUUUAUCAUGAGAGAGUUCGAGAUAGAACACGCUGUUAAGAUUUUCUAACAAAACACGACACGAUUUUGCCGAUAUAUAGGUUAGGUAAGGUUUGGAGUUAGGUUAGGUUUUGAGUUAGGUUAGGUUUUGAGUUAGGUUAGGUUUUGAGUUAGGUUAGGUUUUGAGUUAGGUUAGGUUUUGAGUUAGGUUAGGUUUUGAGUUAGGUUAGGUUUUGAGUUAGGUUAGGUUUUGAGUUAGGUUAGGUUUUGAGUUAGGUUAGGUUUUGAGUUAGGUUAGGUUUUGAGUUAGGUUAGGUUUUGAGUUAGGUUAGGUUAGGUUAGGUUAGGUUUUUUUUUUUUUUUUUUUUUUUUUUUUUUCCUUCUACCUCCAACAUGAUCGGAGCCUACUGUGAGCGGUUUUCUCUUGCAUACCAGUUCUCGCAUUUUUGCUUCUCGCACUUUCAUUCUACAUACUAUUCUUUCUUACAUUCAUCAUCUUUCACUCUUUGUGGUUGGGACUACCACCUAUUUGUUUUCUAUGUUCUACUUUGCUACUUUUAUU